rnacentral:misc_RNA from 1 species
GGAGGGAUCAUUACAGAGUUGCAAAACUCCCAACCAUUGUGAACCUACCUCACCGUUGCUUCGGCGGGUGGCCCCCUCCCCAGGGCCGCGCCGGCCCCCCCCCGGGGUCGGCAACCCGUCAGAGGCCCGAAACUCUUAGUAACCACUGGCCUCUCUGAGUAACUUAUACAAUAAGUCAAAACUUUCAACAACGGAUCUCUUGGUUCUGGCAUCGAUGAAGAACGCAGCGAAAUGCGAUACGUAAUGUGAAUUGCAGAUUUCAGUGAAUCAUCGAAUCUUUGAACGCACAUUGCGCCCGCUAGUAUUCUGGCGGGCAUGCCUGUUCGAGCGUCAUUUCAACCAUCAAGCCCCCGGCUUGCGUUGGAGCCCUGCGGCUGCCGCAGGCUCCCAAAUCCAGUGGCGGGCUCGUCGUCGUACCGAGUGCAGUAAACAUCCUCGCUCAGGGAACGCGUCGGGUUCUUGCCGUGAAACCCCCCCUAUAUCAAGGUUGACCUCGGAUCAGGUAGGAAUACCCGCUGAACUUAAGCAUAUCAAUAAGCGGAGGAAAAGAAACCAACAGGGAUUGCCCCAGUAACGGCGAGUGAAGCGGCAACAGCUCAAAUUUGAAAUCUGGCCUCGGCCCGAGUUGUAAUUUGUAGAGGAAGCUUCUGGUGCGGCGCCGUCCGAGUCUCCUGGAACGGAGCGCCAUAGAGGGUGAGAGCCCCGUAUGGACGGAUGCCAAACCUGUGUGAAGCUCCUUCGACGAGUCGAGUAGUUUGGGAAUGCUGCUCUAAAUGGGAGGUAAAUUCCUUCUAAAGCUAAAUAUUGGCCAGAGACCGAUAGCGCACAAGUAGAGUGAUCGAAAGAUGAAAAGCACUUUGAAAAGAGGGUUAAACAGCACGUGAAAUUGUUGAAAGGGAAGCGCUUGUGACCAGACUUGAGCGCGGCGGAUCAUCCGGUGUUCUCACCGGUGCACUCCGCCGCGCCCAGGCCAGCAUCGGUUUCCGCGGGGGGACAAAGGUCCCGGGAACGUAGCUCCUCCGGGAGUGUUAUAGCCCGGGGCGCAAUGCCCCCGCGGGGACCGAGGACCGCGCAUCUGCAAGGAUGCUGGCGUAAUGGUCAUCAGCGACCCGUCUUGAAACACGGACCAAGGAGUCAAGGUUUUGCGCGAGUGUUUGGGUGUUAAACCCGCACGCGUAAUGAAAGUGAACGUAGGUGAGAGCUUCGGCGCAUCAUCGACCGAUCCUGAUGUAUUCGGAUGGAUUUGAGUAGGAGCGUUAAGCCUUGGACCCGAAAGAUGGUGAACUAUGCUUGGAUAGGGUGAAGCCAGAGGAAACUCUGGUGGAGGCUCGCAGCGGUUCUGACGUGCAAAUCGAUCGUCAAAUCUGAGCAUGGGGGCGAAAGACUAAUCGAACCAUCUAGUAGCUGGUUACCGC